AAUAGAUACCCGGUAGUCCACGCCGUAAACGAUGGAGUGCUAAGUGUUAGAGGGUUUCCGCCCUUUAGUGCUGCAGCAAACGCAUUAAGCACUCCGCCUGGGGAGUACGGCCGCAAGGCUGAAACUCAAAGGAAUUGACGGGGGCCCGCACAAGCGGUGGAGCAUGUGGUUUAAUUCGAAGCAACGCGAAGAACCUUACCAGGUCUUGACAUCCUCUGACACUCCUAGAGAUAGGACUUUCCCCUUCGGGGGACAGAGUGACAGGUGGUGCAUGGUUGUCGUCAGCUCGUGUCGUGAGAUGUUGGGUUAAGUCCCGCAACGAGCGCAACCCUUGAUCUUAGUUGCCAGCAUUCAGUUGGGCACUCUAAGGUGACUGCCGGUGACAAACCGGAGGAAGGUGGGGAUGACGUCAAAUCAUCAUGCCCCUUAUGACCUGGGCUACACACGUGCUACAAUGGAUGGUACAAAGGGCUGCAAGACCGCGAGGUUUAGCCAAUCCCAUAAAACCAUUCUCAGUUCGGAUUGCAGG
rnacentral:rRNA from 1 species